GUGGGCACCAAAAACAGCAAGAGAAAGUUUGGAGUGGAGAUGUACUGGUGUGGCAGAGGAAGCCUUCCAGGGCACUGGACAUCAGGUCCUCGGCCCAAAUCUGUUACUCGGUGUAUACUCUCAGGGUCUCACUAUGCAACCCAGGCUGGCUUUGAACUCACAGAUCCUCCUGCCUCAGCUUUCCAAGUACUAGGAUUACAAGCAUGUGCCACCACACGUGACAUUUUCAUUGAUUUGGGUAGUACUGGGGAUUGAACCUAGGGACUUCACUCUGAG
rnacentral:lncRNA from 1 species